AGACCUUAACCUGCUAAAUAGUCCGGCCGGCUUUUGCUGGUCGCAGACUUCUUAGAGGGACUGUCAGCGUCUAGCUGACGGAAGUUUGAGGCAAUAACAGGUCUGUGAUGCCCUUAGAUGUUCUGGGCCGCACGCGCGCUACACUGACAGAGCCAGCGAGUUCUCACCUUGGCCGGAAGGUCUGGGUAAUCUUGUGAAACU
rnacentral:rRNA from 1 species